rnacentral:rRNA from 1 species
UACGUAGGGGGCAAGCGUUGUCCGGAUUUAUUGGGCGUAAAGAGCGUGUAGGCGGCUAGAUAGGUCCGUUGUGAAAACUCGAGGCUCAACCUCGAGACGCCGGUGGAAACCAUCUAGCUAGAGUCCGGAAGAGGAGAGUGGAAUUCCUGGUGUAGCGGUGAAAUGCGCAGAUAUCAGGAAGAACACCCGUGGCGAAGGCGGCUCUCUAGUACGGUACUGACGCUGAGACGCGAAAGCGUGGGGAGCGAACAGG